rnacentral:rRNA from 1 species
CAAUAGCGUAUAUUUAAGUUGCUGCAGUUAAAAAGCUCGUAGUUGGAUUUCGGGUGGGAAUGGCCGGUCCGCCGUUUCGGUGUGCCCUUGCUACGCCCACCUUGCUGCCGGGGACGUGCUCUUGAGUUCACGCUCGGGACACGGAGUCGGCGAGGUUACUUUGAGUAAAUUAGAGUGUUCAAAGCAGGCCUACGCUCUGAAUACAUUAGCAUGGAAUAACACGAUAGGACUCUGGCCUAUCUUGUUGGUCUGUAGGACCGGAGUAAUGAUUAAGAGGGACAGUCGGGGGCAUUCGUAUUUCAUUGUCAGAGGUGAAAUUCUUGGAUUUAUGAAAGACGAACUACUGCGAAAGCAUUUGCCAAGGAUGUUUUCAUUAA